rnacentral:rRNA from 1 species
UUAAGCGACUAAGCGUACACGGUGGAUGCCCUGGCAGUCAGAGGCGAUGAAGGGCGUGCUAAUCUGCGAUAAGCGCCGGUAAGGUGAUAUGAACCGUUAUAACCGGCGAUACCCGAAUGGGGAAACCCAGUGUGACUCGUCACACUAUCAUGUCAUGAAUACAUAGUGGCAUGAGGCGAACCGGGGGAACUGAAACAUCUAAGUACCCCGAGGAAAAGAAAUCAACCGAGAUUCCCCCAGUAGCGGCGAGCGAACGGGGAGGAGCCCGGAGUCUGAAUCAGCAUGCGUGUUAGUGGAACGGUCUGGAAAGUCCGGCGGUACAGGGUGAUAGUCCCGUACACCAAAAUGCACAUGCUGUGAACUCGAAGAGUAGGGCGGGACACGUGGUAUCCUGUCUGAAUAUGGGGGGACCAUCCUCCAAGGCUAAAUACUCCUGACUGACCGAUAGUGAACCAGUACCGUGAGGGAAAGGCGAAAAGAACCCCGGCGAGGGGAGUGAAAAAGAACCUGAAACCGUGUACGUACAAGCAGUGGGAGCCUCUUUAUGGGGUGACUGCGUACCUUUUGUAUAAUGGGUCAGCGACUUAUAUUCUGUAGCAAGGUUAACCGUAUAGGGGAGCCGGAGGGAAACCGAGUCUUAACCGGGCGUUAAGUUGCAGGGUAUAGACCCGAAACCCGGUGAUCUAGCCAUGGGCAGGUUGAAGGUUGGGUAACACUAACUGGAGGACCGAACCGACUAAUGUUGAAAAAUUAGCGGAUGACCUGUGGCUGGGGGUGAAAGGCCAAUCAAACCGGGAGAUAGCUGGUUCUCCCCGAAAGCUAUUUAGGUAGCGCCUCGUGAACUCAUCUUCGGGGGUAGAGCACUGUUUCGGCCAGGGGGUCAUCCCGACUUACCGAUCCGAUGCAAACUGCGAAUACCGAAGAAUGUUAUCACGGGAGACACACGGCGGGUGCUAACGUCCGUCGUGAAGAGGGAAACAACCCAGACCGCCAGCUAAGGUCCCAAAGUCAUGGUUAAGUGGGAAACGAUGUGGGAAGGCCCAGACAGCCAGGAUGUUGGCUUAGAAGCAGCCAUCAUUUAAAGAAAGCGUAAUAGCUCACUGGUCGAGUCGGCCUGCGCGGAAGAUGUAACGGGGCUAAACCAUGCACCGAAGCUGCGGCAGCGACGCUUAUGCGUUGUUGGGUAGGGGAGCGUUCUGUAAGCCGUUGAAGGUGGCCUGUGAGGGCUGCUGGAGGUAUCAGAAGUGCGAAUGCUGACAUAAGUAACGAUAAUGCGGGUGAAAAACCCGCACGCCGGAAGACCAAGGGUUCCUGUCCAACGUUAAUCGGGGCAGGGUGAGUCGACCCCUAAGGCGAGGCCGAAAGGCGUAGUCGAUGGGAAACGGGUUAAUAUUCCCGUACUUGGUGUUACUGCGAAGGGGGGACGGAGAAGGCUAUGUCGGCCGGGCGACGGUUGUCCCGGUUUAAGCGUGAAGGUGGGUGUUCCAGGUAAAUCCGGAAUGCUGUUAACACUGAGGCGUGAUGACGAGGCACCACGGUGCUGAAGUGACAAAUGCCCUGCUUCCAGGAAAAGCCUCUAAGCAUCAGGUAACACGAAAUCGUACCCCAAACCGACACAGGUGGUCAGGUAGAGAAUACCAAGGCGCUUGAGAGAACCCGGGUGAAGGAACUAGGCAAAAUGGUGCCGUAACUUCGGGAGAAGGCACGCUGGUGCGUAGGUGAAGUGACUUGCUCAUGGAGCUGAAACCAGUCGAAGAUACCAGCUGGCUGCAACUGUUUAUUAAAAACACAGCACUGUGCAAACACGAAAGUGGACGUAUACGGUGUGACGCCUGCCCGGUGCCGGAAGGUUAAUUGAUGGGGUUAUCGCAAGAGAAGCUCCUGAUCGAAGCCCCGGUAAACGGCGGCCGUAACUAUAACGGUCCUAAGGUAGCGAAAUUCCUUGUCGGGUAAGUUCCGACCUGCACGAAUGGCGUAAUGAUGGCCAGGCUGUCUCCACCCGGGACUCAGUGAAAUUGAACUCGCUGUGAAGAUGCAGUGUACCCGCGGCAAGACGGAAAGACCCCGUGAACCUUUACUAUAGCUUGACACUGAACACUGGUCCUUGAUGUGUAGGAUAGGUGGGAGGCUUUGAAGCGCGGACGCCAGUCUGCGUGGAGCCGCCCUUGAAAUACCACCCUUUAAUGGCUGGUGUUCUAACGUGGGCCCGUAAUCCGGGUUGCGGACAGUGUCUGGUGGGUAGUUUGACUGGGGCGGUCUCCUCCUAAAGAGUAACGGAGGAGCACGAAGGUCAGCUAAUCCUGGUCGGACAUCAGGAGGUUAGUGCAAUGGCAUAAGCUGGCUUGACUGCGAGCGUGACGGCGCGAGCAGGUGCGAAAGCAGGUCAUAGUGAUCCGGUGGUUCUGAAUGGAAGGGCCA